GGAAGGGUGGCUCAGUGGUAGAGUGCCCCGCGUGGAACGCGGCUUCCAAGGCUUCGCGUGGUUCAAAUCCCGCCCCUUCCA
rnacentral:tRNA from 1 species